rnacentral:rRNA from 1 species
AAUGAACGCUGGCGGCAGGCCUAACACAUGCAAGUCGAACGGAUCCUUCGGGAUUAGUGGCGGACGGGUGAGUAACGCGUGGGAACAUACCCUUUGGUACGGAAUAGCCUCGGGAAACUGGGAGUAAUACCGUAUGUGGUCGAGAGACGAAAGAUUUAUCGCCAAAGGAUCGGCCCGCGUUAGAUUAGGUAGUUGGUGGGGUAAUGGCCUACCAAGCCGACGAUCCAUAGCUGGUUUGAGAGGAUGAUCAGCCACACUGGGACUGAGACACGGCCCAGACUCCUACGGGAGGCAGCAGUGGGGAAUCUUAGACAAUGGGGGAAACCCUGAUCUAGCCAUGCCGCGUGAUCGAUGAAGGCCUUAGGGUUGUAAAGAUCUUUCAGGUGGGAAGAUAAUGACUGUACCACCAGAAGAAGCCCCGGCUAACUCCGUGCCAGCAGCCGCAGUAAGAC